UGCACUGAACUGCAUCUGGUGUGAGCAUUUAUAGCUCUGCGUUGGAGAAUCUGUGACACACUGAGCCGGGCACUGAAACACCACGCAGCAGCAUCUUAUUGUUUCUGCGCUAAUGAAGCACAGAUAAA